rnacentral:lncRNA from 1 species
CGAGGUGCAUGUUUAAAGGAAAAUGUUUUUUUAAUAAUUUUUUAUUAUUUUUUUAUAACGGUUUAUGUGAUAAUUUGUGAUUAUUCUGUUUUAAAUAUAGAAACUAAUAAAAUAGUGACAUAUAGUCUAUUAUUAAAUGGUUGUUAAAAAAUGUUGUUAAUCUAUAUUUAAAUUUGAUUGCUCAGACUUGUAAGAAAGGGA